rnacentral:rRNA from 1 species
GAUGAACGCUGGCAGAAUGCUUAACACAUGCAAGUCAACUUGAACUUCGGUUUGGGUGGCGGACGGGUGAGUAACGCGUAAAGAACUUGCCUCACAGAUAGGGACAACAUUUGGAAACGAAUGCUAAUACCUGAUAUUAUGAUUAUAUGGCAUCGUAUAAUUAUGAAAGCUAUAUGCGCUGUGAGAGAGCUUUGCGUCCCAUUAGCUAGUUGGAGAGGUAACGGCUCACCAAGGCGAUGAUGGGUAGCCGGCCUGAGAGGGUGAUCGGCCACAAGGGGACUGAGACACGGCCCUUACUCCUACGGGAGGCAGCAGUGGGGAAUAUUGGACAAUGGACCAAGAGUCUGAUCCAGCAAUUCUGUGUGCACGAUGAAGUUUUUCGGAAUGUAAAGUGCUUCCAGUUGGGAAGAAAAAAAUGACGGUACCAACAGAAGAAGUGACGGCUAAAUACGUG